UAGUGCCUACGGGGCGCAGCAGUGAGGAAUAUUGGUCAAUGGGCGCGAGCCUGAACCAGCCAAGUAGCGUGAAGGAUGACUGCCCUACGGGUUGUAAACUUCUUUUAUAAAGGAAUAAAGUGAGGCACGUGUGCCUUUUUGUAUGUACUUUAUGAAUAAGGAUCGGCUAACUCCGUGCCAGCAGCCGCGGUAAUACGGAGGAUCCGAGCGCUAUCCGGAUUUAUUGGGUUUAAAGGGAGCGUAUAUGUGUUGUUAAGUCAGUUGUGAAAGUUUGCGGCUCAACCG
rnacentral:rRNA from 1 species